CAGCCGCCGCGGGAAUACGUAGGUGGCAAGCGUUGUCCGGAAUCACUGGGCGUAAAGGGUGCGUAGGCGGGUCUUUAAGUCAGGGGUGAAAUCCUGGAGCUCAACCCCAGAACUGCCUUUGAUACUGAAGAUCUUGAGUUCGGGAGAGGUGAGUGGAACUGCGAGUGUAGAGGUGAAAUUCGUAGAUAUUCGCAAGAACACCAGUGGCGAAGGCGCCUCACUGGCCCGAUACUGACGCUGAGGCACGAAAGCGUGGGGAGCAAACAGGAUUAGAUACCCCGGUAGUCCCUGUCUCUUAUAC
rnacentral:rRNA from 1 species